GGGCCGUUAGCUCAGUUGGUAGAGCAGCGGACUUUUAAUCCGUUGGUCGCUGGUUCGAAUCCAGCACGGCCCACCA
rnacentral:tRNA from 1 species